rnacentral:misc_RNA from 1 species
UUUAUUUUUAUUCGCAUCUGCGAAAGGAAACGGUUGCGUCUUUCACUCGAUAAGAAAAUUAAUUAAAAAGCAUUUUGUUUCCCAAAUAUAAUUUUGGACUUUCAAAAAUGACUACCGACAUCAAUGAGAUUGGAUCACAGAAGAUCAAAAGUGUAACAACUGGUGAGAGUUUGGAGCUCCGAAACUUCUGGCAGGACCAGAACGUGGCCAUCAUCUUCUUCCGCCGCUGGGGCUGUAUGCUGUGCAGACUGUGGGCUAAGGAGCUUGGUGAGAUCGCUCCAGUGCUGAAGAAGAACAAUAUAAAGCUGGUGGGUGUGGGCGUAGAAGAGCUAGGUUCUAAGGAGUUUGUCGAGGGGAAUUUCUUUGAUGGAGACCUUUAUUACGUGGAGAACCAGUCAACUUACCAGACGCUAGGGUUCAAGCGUUUCAACGUUGUGACGAUCAUCACGUCUUUAUUCUGGAAACAGUCCAGAGAUGCCAUCUUCAAGGGGAGAGGAAUGGGACUCGGUGGGGAUCUCAAGGGGGACUGGGUUCAAACCGGCGGCGCUUUGUUGGUGCAAAAAGGCGGGAAUCUGUUACGCCAUUUUGUACAAACUGGACCUGGGGAUCAUCUCUCCAAUUUGGACAUUCUGAAGCACUUCGGACUUGAAAACGAGUAUAAACCAGAGACAAUGGCCAAUAAGAAGCAAGAGGAAUGCACUACAGAAAACAAGGCUUAAAUCCUGGAUGGACUCUCUCAAAACCAGCGCCCUGGGUCCCAUUCACACUAUAUGGACGGAGAGGAGGUGUCUCGCGCGCAAACUCGGUCAUAGAGAUUGAGCCGGCAAUGUAUUGAAAAUAUCACGACCCAGGUAUUAUUAAACCAGUUGUUUUUGUUUGUUUGUACGCAUAAAUCUGUGGUAUUACAUAAAAUUAACAUUUGAAUCACACAAAAAAAAACAUU